CGAUCACACAAGUGAGCGGCUCGUUACAGUACGGUUAUCAGAGCUAUGCUGACUGUAGGAAUGCACUGCGGCCAGUAUCAUGAUGAAGAUCCCGCUGAAAAAGGUCUAAUUACAGACCGAAAUGUCUGGGGAAAAUAACGUGGCUUUAAUAUUUUUUCUAUUCCUGGAUAUGCACUAUACUGUAUGGAAAUAUACGGGAAUGCUGCCAUUAGCUGGGGACAAAAUAUCCUGUGGGGACUUGCACCAGGGAGAAGAAAGCAGCGAAGGCCACUAACAGCCUGAAACGUGGAACAGCCAAUGAAA